CUAGGACCUCUCUGUCCUCACUUUCUUUUGCUUCCCAUGGCUUCUGCAGGCAGGCAAGACCUGGAUCUCCAGUGACUGCACCCAGAGCUGUGCCUGCGUGGGAGGGACUGUCCAGUGUCACAACUUCACCUGCCCCCCAGGGACUCAGUGCCAGAACAGUGUCUGUUCCAAAAUCAUACAGUGCCCAGUCCACAGCCAUUACACCGCCUGCCUCCCCUCCUGUCCACCAUCCUGCUUUGACCCAGAAGGCCUCUGUUGGGGCACCAGUCCAAGAACCCCCUCCACCUGCAAGGAGGGUUGUGUCUGCCAACCUGGCUAUGUGCUGAACGAAGACAAGUGUGUGCUCAGGAGUCACUGUGUCUGCAAGAAUAACCAGGGUGUCCUCAUCCCGGCAGACAAGUCCUGGCUCACCAGAGGCUGUAUCCAAAACUGUACGUGCAAAGGAGGGGACAUUCAUUGCUUGAAUUUCAAGUGUCCCUUGGGGACCGAAUGCAAGGACAGUGUUGAUGGAAACAGUAACUGUGCCAAAAUUGUUCUGCAAUGCCCAGCCCACAGCUACCACACCAACUGCCUUCCCUCCUGUAUCCCAUCCUGCUCCAACGUGAAUGGCCGCUGUGAGUUUACCAGCCUCAAAAACCCCUCUACCUGCAUAGAAGGCUGCCUCUGCCAGUCUGGCUUUGUGUUCAAUAAGGACAAGUGUGUCCACAGAACUCAGUGUGGCUGCAAAGACUCCCAGGGCACCCUCAUUCCGGCAGGUAAGAACUGGAUUACCACGGGCUGUUCCCAGAGAUGUACUUGCACGGCAGGACUUGUUCAGUGCCACGACUUCGAGUGCCCCUCAGGGACCGAGUGCCAGGACAUCGAGGACGGCAACAGUAACUGUGCUGAAAUCAGUAAGGCAGCCAUGAGGGGAGGUGGAGAGACUGUCCCUAGACUGAGGAAUCAGGGACCGGGGCAAGGAGCUUAGUCCCCUGGGCCUAAGAGGCCAGGGAUAGGAUGUAACAUGGUGGGAAGGGAUCCUGGGGACUAUGGCUAGGCUGUGUCCCUUUACAGUGUUAGUCUCUCAGUGGUCAGCAUCUUAGUUCAUUUCUGAGGCUGUGAUAAAAUACUGCAAUCCAAAGCCACUUGGGGACAAAGGGCUUCUUGCCCGCCGCUCACAGUUGCAGUACUAGUCUGUCACUGUGGGGAAGUCAAGGUGUCAGGAACUUAGAGAGUUACACAGGCACGGUUGAGAAUGCUGGGCAAUGCUUGCAGUAGUACUCUGCCUGCUUCCUCUACUGUACAGUCCUGGGCCUUCCACAGUGUACCUGGUCUGUCUAUGCCACUUAAAGUGGUCAAGACACUUCCCCACCAGCAUUUCCCUGCACCGAUCUGACCAAGACGAUACCUGACUAAGACUCUCUUUUAGAUGAUUCUACAUUGCAUCAAGUUGAGAGCUAAAGCUAACCAUGAGAAUCGGUGUCCCAUGUUAUCUUGGGAGAUCCACCUUUUCUCACUUUCUUCACUCCGGGGUUCCCACACAGACCUUGUCAGUAAAGGCUUGCCCAACAGUUGCUUCUCGGUGUCAGUUUCUCACAAUGAGUUGAGAAAAAACAUUCUCUUUUUCCAUCUGGACUUGUCACAAAGUCCUGCUCAGUCAAUGUUUGCUGAAUGAAUAACAAAAGGAGGAAACCCCUGGCUUCCGUUAGCUCUUCUGCCCUGUCUUGUUUCUGUAGUCCCCGUGUCCUUGGGGGCCCUCUAGAAGUCUCCACUAACCUUGCUUUCCCUCCUUGCCUAGCUGUGCAGUGCCCGGCCCACAGUCACUACUCCAAAUGCCUUCCUUCAUGCCUGCCUUCCUGCUCCGACCCAGAUGGCCUCUGCAAGGGCACGCGCCCCAAAGCCUCCUCCACCUGUGAGGAGGGCUGUGUCUGUCAGUCCGGCUAUGUGCUGAGUAACGACACGUGUAUACGCAGCAGUGCGUGUACCUGCAAGAACACCCAUGGUGUUCUCAUCCCCGUGAGUGGGCAUGGAGAGAGGGCUUGGUGAGGGCUAAAGGACAUUGCUUCCUGGGUGAGGACCUCAGGUCAAGUCCCCGUAAUCCACUUAAGCUAGGCGUGGUAUUCUACAUCUCUAAUCCCAGAGCUCCUACUGAAAUACAGGAGGUGCAAACAGGACCACCCUCAGGGACUUGCAGGCUAGACAUUUGGUACAUCAUAGUGGUGAGCAUCACGAGAUCCAAGAUGGGAGAGACGGGGGGACAGAUAGACAAGAGACAGAACGAGAGACUGUUUCAGUGCAAGGUGAAAUGCAAGAACCAACACGUGAAAAUGUCCUCUGCCUAGGAAGCGCAAGGCCCUGGGUUCGGUCCCCAGCUCCGAAAAAAAGAACAAAAAAAAAAAAAAAAAAAAAAAAAAGAAAAUGUCCUCUGACCUCCAGGAGUACAUGCCCCGUUCACACACAUACUCAAACACAAAUGUGUGUG
rnacentral:lncRNA from 1 species